CAGGCUUAACACAUGCAAGUCGAGGGGCAUCAGGAAGAAAGCUUGCUUUCUUUGCUGGCGACCGGCGCACGGGUGAGUAACACGUAUCCAACCUGCCCUUUACUCGGGGAUAGCCUUUCGAAAGAAAGAUUAAUACCCGAUAGCAUAAUGAUUCCGCAUGGUUUCAUUAUUAAAGGAUUCCGGUAAAGGAUGGGGAUGCGUUCCAUUAGGUUGUUGGUGAGGUAACGGCCCACCAAGCCUUCGAUGGAUAGGGGUUCUGAGAGGAAGGUCCCCCACAUUGGAACUGAGACACGGUCCAAACUCCUACGGGAGGCAGCAGUGAGGAAUAUUGGUCAAUGGGCGCUAGCCUGAACCAGCCAAGUAGGGUGAAGGAUGAAGGCUCUAUGGGUCGUAAACUUCUUUUAUAUAAGAAUAAAGUGCAGUAUGUAUACUGUUUUGUAUGUAUUAUAUGAAUAAGGAUCGGCUAACUCCGUGCCAGCAGCCGCGGUAAUACGGAGGAUCCGAGCGUUAUCCGGAUUUAUUGGGUUUAAAGGGAGCGUAGGUGGACUGGUAAGUCAGUUGUGAAAGUUUGCGGCUCAACCGUAAAAUUGCAGUUGAUACUGUCAGUCUUGAGUACAGUAGAGGUGGGCGGAAUUCGUGGUGUAGCGGUGAAAUGCUUAGAUAUCACGAAGAACUCCGAUUGCGAAGGCAGCUCACUGGACUGCAACUGACACUGAUGCUCGAAAGUGUGGGUAUCAAACAGGAUUAGAUACCCUGGUAGUCCACACAGUAAACGAUGAAUACUCGCUGUUUGCGAUAUACAGUAAGCGGCCAAGCGAAAGCAUUAAGUAUUCCACCUGGGGAGUACGCCGGCAACGGUGAAACUCAAAGGAAUUGACGGGGGCCCGCACAAGCGGAGGAACAUGUGGUUUAAUUCGAUGAUACGCGAGGAACCUUACCCGGGCUUAAAUUGCAGUGGAAUGAUGUGGAAACAUGUCAGUGAGCAAUCACCGCUGUGAAGGUGCUGCAUGGUUGUCGUCAGCUCGUGCCGUGAGGUGUCGGCUUAAGUGCCAUAACGAGCGCAACCCUUAUCUUUAGUUACUAACAGGUUAUGCUGAGGACUCUGGAGAGACUGCCGUCGUAAGAUGUGAGGAAGGUGGGGAUGACGUCAAAUCAGCACGGCCCUUACGUCCGGGGCUACACACGUGUUACAAUGGGGGGUACAGAAGGCAGCUACCUGGUGACAGGAUGCUAAUCCCAAAAGCCUCUCUCAGUUCGGAUCGAAGUCUGCAACCCGACUUCGUGAAGCUGGAUUCGCUAGUAAUCGCGCAUCAGCCACGGCGCGGUGAAUACGUUCCCGGGCCUUGUACACACCGCCCGUCAAGCCAUGGGAGCCGGGGGUACCUGAAGUACGUAACCGCAAGGAUCGUCCUAGGGUAAAACUGGUGACUGGGGCUAAGUC
rnacentral:rRNA from 1 species